GGAAUAUUGGACAAUGGGGGAAACCCUGAUCCAGCCAUGCCGCGUGUGUGAAGAAGGCCUUUUGGUUGUAAAGCACUUUAAGCAGUGAAGAAGACUCUUCGGUUAAUACCCGGAGACGAUGACAUUAGCUGCAGAAUAAGCACCGGCUAACUCUGUGCCAGCAGCCGCGGUAAUACAGAGGGUGCAAGCGUUAAUCGGAAUUACUGGGCGUAAAGCGAGCGUAGGUGGCUUGAUAAGUCAGAUGUGAAAUCCCCGGGCUUAACCUGGGAACUGCAUCUGAUACUGUCAGGCUAGAGUAGGUGAGAGGAAGGUAGAAUUCCAGGUGUAGCGGUGAAAUGCGUAGAGAUCUGGAGGAAUACCGAUGGCGAAGGCAGCCUUCUGGCAUCAUACUGACACUGAGGCUCGAAAGCGUGGGUAGCAAACAGGAUUAGAUACCCGAG
rnacentral:rRNA from 1 species